rnacentral:rRNA from 1 species
UACAGAGGGGGCAAGCGUUGUUCGGAAUUACUGGGCGUAAAGGGCGCGUAGGCGGCCUGCUAAGUCGAACGUGAAAUCCCCGAGCUCAACUCGGGAACUGCGUCCGAUACUGGCAGGCUUGAAUCCGGGAGAGGGAUGCGGAAUUCCAGGUGUAGCGGUGAAAUGCGUAGAUAUCUGGAGGAACACCGGUGGCGAAGGCGGCAUCCUGGACCGGCAUUGACGCUGAGGCACGAAAGCGUGGGGAGCGAACGGG